rnacentral:rRNA from 1 species
AUUGAACGCUGGCGGCAUGCCUUACACAUGCAAGUCGAACGGCAGCACGGGAGCAAUCCUGGUGGCGAGUGGCGAACGGGUGAGUAAUAUAUCGGAACGUGCCCAGUAGUGGGGGAUAACUGACCGAAAGCGCAGCUAAUACCGCAUAAGAACUGAGGGUGAAAGGGGGGGAUCGCAAGACCCUUCGCUAUUCGAGCGGCCGAUAUCAUAUUAGCUAGUUGGUGGGGUAAAGGCACACCAAGGCAACGAUCUGUAGUUGGUCUGAGCGGACGACCAGCCACACUGGACUGAGACACGGCCCAGACUCCUACGGGAGGCAGCAGUGGGGAAUUUUGGACAAUGGGCGCAAGCCUGAUCCAGCAAUGCCGCGUGCAGGAAGAAGGCCUUCGGGUUGUAAACUGCUUUUGUCAGGGAAGAAAUCCUCUAGGUUAAUACCCUUGGGGGGAUGACGGUACCUGAAGAAUAAGCACCGGCUAACUACGUGCCAGCCGCCGCCGUAAGAC